CCACUCCCUAAGAUCCCUAUGUGUUAGCUUGUUAAUCCCGUUUAAGAUGCUGCCUUCCACCAUGCACAAGUGCAAAGCCAAGAGAUACUACCAUUGCAACUAGAUACCCAGUUAUUGCUCCAUAAGUCACACAUAUUGGCCAGUCCUGCCAUGGCCUUUCCCAGUCAAGUGGCAUCGGCCAAGCCCCAAACCAAGCUCCAAUUAGAGCCCCAUGUGCUGGUAUACAAAUCAUAU
rnacentral:misc_RNA from 1 species